AACGAACGCUGGCGGCAGGCUUAACACAUGCAAGUCGGACGCAUGCCUUCGGGCAUGAGUGGCAGACGGGUGAGUAACGCGUGGGAACCUACCCCUUGGUACGGGAUAGCUCCGGGAAACUGGAGAUAAUACCGUAUGUGUCCUGAGGGACAAAGAUUCAUCGCCAAGGGAUGGGCCCGCGUCGGAUUAGCUAGUUGGUGGGGUAACGGCCUACCAAGGCGACGAUCCGUAGCUGGUCUAAGAGGAUGAUCAGCCACAUUGGGACUGAGACACGGCCCAAACUCCUACGGGAGGCAGCAGUGGGGAAUAUUGGACAAUGGGCGCAAGCCUGAUCCAGCCAUGCCGCGUGAGUGAUGAAGGCCCUAGGGUUGUAAAGCUCUUUCACCGGUGACGAUAAUGACGGUAACCGGAGAAGAAGCCCCGGCUAACUUCGUG
rnacentral:rRNA from 1 species